rnacentral:rRNA from 1 species
GACGAACGCUGGCGGCGUGCUUAACACAUGCAAGUCGAACGAAGAGCGACGGAAGCUUGCUUCUAUCAAUCUUAGUGGCGAACGGGUGAGUAACGCGUAAUCAACCUGCCCUUCAGAGGGGGACAACAGUUGGAAACGACUGCUAAUACCGCAUACGAUCUAACCUCGGCAUCGAGGAUAGAUGAAAGGUGGCCUCUACAUGUAAGCUAUCACUGAAGGAGGGGAUUGCGUCUGAUUAGCUAGUUGGAGGGGUAACGGCCCACCAAGGCGAUGAUCAGUAGCCGGUCUGAGAGGAUGAACGGCCACAUUGGGACUGAGACACGGCCCAGACUCCUACGGGAGGCAGCAGUGGGGAAUCUUCCGCAAUAGACGAAAGUCUGACGGAGCAACGCCGCGUGAGUGAUGACGGCCUUCGGGUUGUAAAGCUCUGUUAAUCGGGACGAAAGGCCUUCUUGCGAAUAGUGAGAAGGAUUGACGGUACCGGAAUAGAAAGCCACGGCUAACUACGUG